CCUUCGGGUUGUAAACCGCUUUCAGCAGGGACGAAACUGACUGUACCUGCAGAAGAAGCCCCGGCUAACUACGUGCCAGCAGCCGCGGUAAUACGUAGGGGGCAAGCGUUAUCCGGAUUUAUUGGGCGUAAAGAGCGCGUAGGCGGUUUGUUAAGUCAGAUGUGAAAACUGGGGGCUCAACCCGCAGCCUGCAUCUGAAACUGGCAGACUUGAGUCUGGUAGAGGAAAGUGGAAUUCCCAGUGUAGCGGUGAAAUGCGCAGAUAUUGGGAGGAACACCAGUGGCGAAGGCGGCUUUCUGGGCCACGACUGACGCUGAGGCGCGAAAGCUAGGGGAGCAAACAGGAUUAGAUACCCUGGUAGUCCUAGCCGUAAACGAUGGGCACUAGGUGUGGGGGGUUAUCAACUCCCUCCGUGCCGCAGCUAACGCAUUAAGUGCCCCGCCUGGGGAGUACGGCCGCAAGGCUAAAACUCAAAGGAAUUGACGGGGGCCCGCACAAGCAGCGGAGCAUGUGGCUUAAUUCGACGCAACGCGAAGAACCUUACCAAGACUU
rnacentral:rRNA from 1 species